rnacentral:rRNA from 1 species
UUAGGGCUUAUAAAUAUACCGAUAAAUAAUAUCAACAGUUAAAAAUUCAAAGAAUUUGGCGGUGUCUUAUAUACUCAGGGGAACCUGUAUCUUAAUUCGAUAAUCCACGAAAAUCAAUCCAGAGUUAGAAAUUACAGCCUGUGUACUGCUGUCGUAAGUAAACCUCUAAAAGAAAGUUUACAAUAUCAAUACAAUUGAGUACGUCAAGUCAAAGUGCAGCCAAUGCUCAGGAGAUUAUGGGUUACAAUCUAUAUUAUAGACUAUGAAUCUAAUUAAUAAAAAAUUAGUGAAAGUGGACUUGAUAGUAAUAAAUAAAUAAUUCAUCUAUUAACAAUUUAUCUAAGACAUGCACACAUCGCCCGUCACUCU